rnacentral:rRNA from 1 species
AUUGAACGCUGGCGGCAGGCUUUACACAUGCAAGUCGAACGAGUGGCGAACGGGUGAGUAAUAUAUCGGAACGUACCGAGUAAUGGGGGAUAACUAGUCGACAGAUUAGCUAAUACCGCAUAUUAUUCGAGCGGCCGAUAUGUGAUUAGCUAGUUGGUGGGGUAAAGGCAUACCAAGGCGACGAUCAGUAGCGGGUCUGAGAGGAUGAUCAGCCACACUGGGACUGAGACACGGUCCAGACUCCUACGGGAGGCAGCAGUGGGGAAUAUUGGACAAUGGGCGCAAGCCUGAUCCAGCCAUGCCGCGUGUCUGAAGAAGGCCUUCGGGUUGUAAAGUACUUUUGGCAGGGAAGCGUUACCCGAAGAAGAAGCACCGGCUAACUACGUGCCAGCAGCCGCGGUAAUUC